CCUACGGGAGGCAGCAGUGGGGGAUAUUGCACAAUGGGGGGAACCCUGAUGCAGCGACGCCGCGUGGGUGAAGGAGCGUUUCGGCGCGUAAAGCUCUAUCGGCAGGGAAGAAGAUGACGGUACCUGAUCAAGAAGCCCCGGCUAACUACGUGCCAGCAGCCGCGGUAAUACGUAGGGGGCAAGAGUUAUCCGGAUUUACCGGUUGUAAAGGGGGCGGAGACGGCAGAACAAGCCUGGAGUGAAAUCCCGGGGCUCAACCCCGGAACUGCGUUUGAAAGUGUGUGGCUAGAGUGCAGGAGGGGCAUGCGGAAUUCCUAGUGUAGCGGUGAAAUGCGUAGAUAUUAGGAGGAACACCAGUGGCGAAGGCGGCCUGCUGGACUGUGACUGACGUUGAGGCCCGAAGGCGUGGGGAGCAAACAGGAUUAGAUACCCGAGUAGUC
rnacentral:rRNA from 1 species